CGGCCAGGCCCAUCAUCCAGCCCACUCUCUCUUCACCCAAAGCUUGGCCAGCCACUCCCCCCUCUGGCGCCGCCGAGCUCUCCGCUGCCGUGCCGCCGUCGCGCUCGCAUCCUCCUUUUCCCCAACCCCAUCUCUCCGGUCAGGCUCGGGUCGACCGGCGCGCGCGGGCGGCGGGGGUCCAGUGGAGGACUCUCCGGCGAGGGAACAUCAGUCUUCUCCCCACUUUCCUCGGAGAGGGAGGCGGCGACCUCGUAUCCGGUGGCGCGGCCAUCAGGAAACGGCGACCUCGAGCCAGCGAGGGCUACUAGGUCUUGCAGCGGACAGACCCAUACGGAGAAAACCUAGAACAUGGGAGCAUAGCGGCGGUGAGAUUGUGUUGACAAGUUAGCGCGGGUUGCGUUUGUAACACUAGCAUACACCAACCAAGCCAGUGCGCGCACCUUGGAAUUUUGUUGGCGAUGGAUGGCAGUAGCUCCAGCAAGAGAAAAGCCGAAGCGCAGCGAGAGGGAGAGAGCAGCGCCAAAAGGCUGAAUGUCACUGUGGGGAUGGAGCACCUUGACUGCCCCAUCUGCUUGAAGCCCCUCAGGCCUCCAAUACUCCAGUGCUCCGUGGGGCAUUUCGUAUGCUCGCAUUGCUGUACGCAUCAACUGGAUGGCAAGUGCCAUUUAUGCUCUGUAGAGACUACAUUCGAGCGCUGCUUUGGGAUGGAACAUGUUGUCGAGUCAGUCACAGUAGCUUGCUCCAAUGAGAUGUACGGAUGUGCCGAGACAGUCACCUACUACAAGAAAGAAGAGCACAAGGAGGCAUGCCCAUACGCCCCAUGCUUCUGCCCAGAGCCUGGUUGUGGCUUCGCUGGACCAACAAAGGUGCUCCUGGAACAUUUCACGACCCAGCACAAGUGUCCAUUGACAACCCUCCCAGACUCUGGCACAGUGUCUCUCUGCCUGCAGCCGGGCUUACAUGUUUUGCAAUGCACCAGGAACAGCUACUUUUUCUUGCUCAGCAUGGCAUCAGAGCCUUUUGGACAUGUCAUCUCAGUCGUCUGUGUCAAACCAAACAGGAGGAAAUCGAAGUUCACAUGUAAUCUGAGUUACGACUGCAUAACAACUGGCUGUUGUGGAAGUACAAACUGCCACAUAAGGAGCUCUUCACUCUCUGAUGGGCUUCCGACAGUGUAUGACUUAAUACUUCCCAAGGGAAAGGUUUCUGACGAUGCAAACGGUAUCAUGCUUAGAGCCACCAUUAAUUAUCAAACUAUAAGUCACAGCAGAUCUUGUUUUCGAGGGAAGGGACUGACUUCUGCACUUCAACAAAGGCCCAAUACUUGUGAUGAUGAUGAUGAUGAUGCGGAUUAUAUACCUAAAAGUCGUAGAAGAUCUCCCCCUGCUAAGGAGGAGGAGGUGGUGGAGCAGGAUGGGAAUGAUGAGGACAAUGAGGAGGAGGAGGAGAAUGAUGAGAAUAAUGAGGAGGAGGAGGAGGAUGAAAGACCUUUAAGUGUCAGAAGAUCCCACCCUGCUGAGGAGGAGGAUGAAAGACCUUUAAUUCUCAGAAGAUCCCACCCUGCUGUUCAACGAAGGCCCAAUACUUAUCAUGAUGAUGGGCAGGUGGAGGAGGACGAGGAGGAUGCUAGACCUGUAAGUGUCAGCAGACCCCGUCUUCAGGGAAUGGCUCCGGCUCGUGGUGUUCAACAAAGGCACUAUUCUGAUACCGAUGAGGAUGAUUUACCUAUAGCUUUCAGCAGAGCCCGUCUCCGAGGAAUGCGUCCAGCUCCUGCAGUUCAAGAAAGGCACUAUUUUGACACCAGUGAUGAGGAUGAUUUACCUAUAGCUUUCAGACCCUUUAUUCGAGGAACGGCUUAGACUCCUGCAGUUCAAAGAAGGGGCGUAUUCUGAUACUGAUGGUGAGGAUGAGAGGCCUUUAUGUUCCAGGCUUCCCGUACGCUAAAGGUUUUCCGUGCACUUGCUGUUCUUCUGCCUGGCUUGCACCGUUCUGGUUCCAGGAUAUAUAUGUGAAGUCUCUAUUUCUGGCCUCAAGUAUCGCCUCACCGUUGUUAAGCAUUGCUUCAGCUCCUUGAACACAUUACUGGGCAGCGUGUGGCUGCAGAGUCUGAAUGCAGCUUUGGGUUUGAUGAUGAUACCGCUGAUCCAAUUUACGAGGAAAUCAAGCUCCUGGCGAAGUUUCUUCCAUGGGCAACCUUCCAAAUGAUGUAAUGGUCAUGAAUAAAUUAGUAGAGGUUACCCUGAGUUUUUACAAGAAGACCGCAAGUUGCUUCAACAAUGUGGCUACUAGAAAACAGUACUGUAUGCUAUGCAGAUCACAAGGUCGCAGAUAGCGGUGCAGUAUCUGCAGGUGAUAAGAUGCGAUGUUUUUUUCUUACUGAAUUCGUGCAGUGGAUGAUCAGAUGUUGUCUGGUUAUCUGAAGAUAGGAACGAAAUCCUCCAUAAUUUGUAGCUGGAGUACUUUGUUACUUUCUGCUUCUUUUUCGGUGAGUUAUACUACUAGAGUUGUUGGACACGCAGAAUUUUUUUUGUGGGAGUAAUCAUGAAUUUUGCCGGUGGAGCAGCUGUGGAGCCUUCUAGUGGCAUUGGUCGUGUGUAACUUUUAUCUCUAGCAACUGAAACAUUUUCGAGUGUUGUGUGAAUAGUC